ensembl:lncRNA
UGUGCUGCUAGUCUGCCUUGUAGCUGCUGAUAGCCAAGCAUUGCUCCUUGUGUCCUCUCAUCAGCAUUUCGUGGGUUUUGGUUUAUUGCUGUGUGUGAAUGCCAGAAGUCAUCUGUGGACGGGACUCCUCCUGAGUCUCACCCAACUCACCUGUGGCUGGUCCCCACCUGUUGAAGAUAAGCAAUCAUGGGCUCUUACUUAAGUGAAUCCCAUUCACGUUUUUGUCUGACAUAAUAAUUGGCCUUUGAAGACAGUUGUUGUUUUUGAAGCCCUUCAGUCUCAGAUGCCAUCGGAUGACUAUGGGACUGCAGUCGGCACCAGUAAUGGCCUUAAUUUGGGUCGAGGAUCGUCCAG